rnacentral:tRNA from 1 species
GCCUUCGUGGUGUAACGGUAGCACACUCGGUGCGUAUUCGAGAGGUACAGAUUCGAGUCCCGCCAAGGGCA